rnacentral:rRNA from 1 species
GAAAAGUGGCGAAAGGGUCAGUAAUGCGAUCGAACGUGCCCUGAGGUGGAGGAUAGGCAUGGGAAACUGUGCGUAAUACUCCAUGUGCUCCACGGAGGAAAGCCGCAAGGCGCCUUUGGAGCGGCGAUCGUCCUAUCAGCUAGUUGGUGAGGUAACGGCUCACCAAGGCUUCGACGGGUAGCGGGUGUGAGAGCACGACCCGCGACAUCGGGACUGAGACACUGCCCGGACUCCUACGGGAGGCUGCAGCGACGAAUCUUCCGCAAUGGGCGAAAGCCUGACGGAGCAAUGCCGCGUGCAGGAUGAAGCGGCUACGCCGUGUAAACUGCUGUCAGGGGGUAGAAACACUGAUCACCCCCAAAGGAAGAGCCGGCUAACCCUGUGCCAGCAGCCGCGGUAAGACAGGGGGCUCGAGCGUUAAUCGGAAUCAUUGGGCUUAAAGGGUGCGUAGGCGGGUUGCUAAGUGUUCUGUGAAAUCCCCCGGCUCAACCGGGGAAUCGCAGGGCAUACUG